rnacentral:rRNA from 1 species
GACGAACGCUGGCGGCGUGCUUAACACAUGCAAGUCGAACGAUGAAGCUAGAGCUUGCUCCGGUGGAUUAGUGGCGAACGGGUGAGUAACACGUGAGCAAUCUGCCCUUGACUCUGGGAUAACUGCGGGAAACUGUAGCUAAUACCGGAUACUUUCACUGGAAGGCAUCUUCUGGUGAAGAAAGAAUUUCGGUCAAGGAUGAGCUCGCGGCCUAUCAGCUUGUUGGUGAGGUAACGGCUCACCAAGGCGACGACGGGUAGCCGGCCUGGGAGGGUGACCGGCCACACUGGGACUGAGACACGGCCCAGCCUCCUACGGGAGGCAGCAGUGGGGAAUAUUGCACAAUGGGCGCAAGCCUGAUGCAGCAACGCCGCGUGAGGGAUGAAGGCCUUCGGGUUGUAAACCUCUUUUAGCAGGGAAGAAGCGAAAGUGACGGUACCUGCAGAAAAAGCACCGGCUAACUACGUGCCAGCCGCCGCCGUAA